rnacentral:rRNA from 1 species
GGGAGGUUGGCGCAGCUACACAUGCAAGUCGAGCGGUAGAGAGAAGCUUGCUUCUCUUGAGAGCGGCGGACGGGUGAGUAAUGCCUAGGAAUCUGCCUGGUAGUGGGGGAUAACGUUCGGAAACGGACGCUAAUACCGCAUACGUCCUACGGGAGAAAGCAGGGGACCUUCGGGCCUUGCGCUAUCAGAUGAGCCUAGGUCGGAUUAGCUAGUUGGUGGGGUAAUGGCUCACCAAGGCGACGAUCCGUAACUGGUCUGAGAGGAUGAUCAGUCACACUGGAACUGAGACACGGUCCAGACUCCUACGGGAGGCAGCAGUGGGGAAUAUUGGACAAUGGGCGAAAGCCUGAUCCAGCCAUGCCGCGUGUGUGAAGAAGGUCUUCGGAUUGUAAAGCACUUUAAGUUGGGAGGAAGGGCAGUUGCCUAAUACGUAACUGUUUUGACGUUACCGACAGAAUAAGCACCGGCUAACUCUGUGCCAGCAGCCGCGGUAAUACAGAGGGUGCAAGCGUUAAUCGGAAUUACUGGGCGUAAAGCGCGCGUAGGUGGUUUGUUAAGUUGGAUGUGAAAUCCCCGGGCUCAACCUGGGAACUGCAUUCAAAACUGACUGACUAGAGUAUGGUAGAGGGUGGUGGAAUUUCCUGUGUAGCGGUGAAAUGCGUAGAUAUAGGAAGGAACACCAGUGGCGAAGGCGACCACCUGGACUGAUACUGACACUGAGGUGCGAAAGCGUGGGGAGCAAACAGGAUA